CCUACGGGUGGCUGCAGUGGGGAAUAUUGCACAAUGGGCGCAAGCCUGAUGCAGCCAUGCCGCGUGUGUGAAGAAGGCCUUCGGGCUGUAAAGCACUUUCAGCGGGGAGGAAGGCGUUAAGGUUAAUAACCUUGGCGAUUGACGUUACCCGCAGAAGAAGCACCGGCUAACUCCGUGCCAGCAGCCGCGGUAAUACGGAGGGUGCAAGCGUUAAUCGGAAUUACUGGGCGUAAAGCGCACGCAGGCGGUCUGUCAAGUCGGAUGUGAAAUCCCCGGACUCAACCUGGGAACUGCAUUCGAAACUGGCAGGCUAGAGUCUUGUAGAGGGGGGUAGAAUUCCAGGUGUAGCGGUGAAAUGCGUAGAGAUCUGGAGGAAUACCGGUGGCGAAGGCGGCCCCCUGGACAAAGACUGACGCUCAGGUGCGAAAGCGUGGGGAGCAAACAGGAUUAGAUACCCGGGUAGUC
rnacentral:rRNA from 1 species